AGCCUUGCAAAAUAAGUAAUGAACCUGAUUUCUUCCAAAGAGAGUCUGUUCAGUGUCUCAAUUGGGAUUUUAAGUAGUGCUGGUGCAAGCAAACAUGGAUGUUGACACUUUGAUGACUUGCAUCAAAGCCGGAGGCUGCUAUCUUGUUAUCCUGGUCUACAUGAUGUCUUUGUGUGUGCCAGUGACGAGUCCUGCUGUUACCGUGGAAACCACUUGGCAUGUUCCUGCCAGGGGUCAUCUCCUGGUUCCCAGUUUCUCAGCCCUCCAUCACAGUAGAAGCAUUUGACAUUGUCACCGUGACCUGUCAGGAUGAAUGAGACUACUGUGAGGACAGGCUAGGGACACAGACCGGACAA